CGGCCGCGUCGACGUUUGAUCCUGGCUCAGGAUGAACGCUGGCGGUCUGCUUAACACAUGCAAGUCGAACGGGACUCUUCGGAGUUCAGUGGCGGACGGGUGAGUAACGCGUGAGAAUCUGCCUUCAGGUCGGGGACAACCACUGGAAACGGUGGCUAAUACCGGAUAUGCCGCAACGUGAAAGAUUUAUCGCCUGAAGAGGAGCUCGCGUCUGAUUAGCUAGUUGGUGGGGUAAAAGCUCACCAAGGCGACGAUCAGUAGCUGGUCUGAGAGGACGAUCAGCCACACUGGGACUGAGACACGGCCCAGACUCCUACGGGAGGCAGCAGGUGGGGUAAUUUUCCGCAAUGGGACGAAAGCCUGACGGAGCAAGACCGCGGUGGGGAAGAAGGCUCUUGGGUUACGUAACCCCUUUCUCUGGGAAGAAAGUUGUGAAAGCAACCUGACGGUACCAGAGGAAUCAGCAUCGGCUAACUCCGUG
rnacentral:rRNA from 1 species